rnacentral:lncRNA from 1 species
AAGCUUUCAGUAUUUACUUGACAAAUGCAAAAAUAACGAGAAACUGAUUAAGCAAAUUCAUGCCGAGGCCAUAACAAUUGGUUCUCUUUUCACUCAUCAAAACCUCGCCUAUAAAUUAUUAAACACCUACACAAAAUUCAACAAACCAAUCGAAGCCCACAAAAUUUUCAUCCAAAAUCAAAAACCCAAAUUUAGUGUGGAUCUGACGUUUCAUGUUCACAUAUGAAAAUUAUCGUAAAGUUUCAAACAUUAAUCUUAUUACCAGUUAAUUAGUGUGAACGGUGAAGAAGAU